AACUGAUGUAUGUCUGACUGCAAACAUGAAGCAGACAUGGGAAGGAGCAAAAGCAAGGUAGAGGGCUCCAGCCAGGGGACAGAGACCGCAGAAGAUAACUCAGAUCUUCACAGAAGUGUUUUAAAACAGUUAUGGUCAACAAACUAGAAUAAGAGAGCUGAAACCUGAUCCAGAUGUGGACUUCAGCAGUGUUGGACAUGGCGUGAUGUGACAUCUUCCUUUGAGGAGGCCCCUGAUCUACCAAAGUGAGCUUCUCCCUGCAGAAUCAGAUUGCAAAACUCACCGCAGAGUUCCUGAGUCCAAAGAAAAGCUGCUGACAUCAGAAUAUGGUUCCUCGGUUCACAUCCUUGGGUUCUGCCCGUGCCAGCGUGCCUUGUGGUUCUGCAGGGCUCCCAACGCAUGGGCAGGAGGCUGGAGAUGUAAGCAGAAGCUCACCUUUCUCCUCAGCUCUCAGCUUCUGGCAGCUGCAGGCACAUUUCCAACCUCUCUUUCCAUUCCUGUCCUGCAGGCAUCCCCAGCCCUAUCCCAGUCUGCAGGGUCCUGGGUGCACCCUCACUGACCACCCCUUCAUUUUGCCUCAAAUGCAGUUUGUAACAGUGCAUUUCAGUACAUGUUGCUUGACGGUAUCUUCUGCUGCUGUCAGACAAAAACCGAUGCAAGCCAACAAAUCCUUAUUACUUAUUGGCUUUCAGCUCAGUUCAAAUCAAUUUUUAUUGCAGUGUGGUGGACGUAUGUUUAAUUCUUGCAUCCUUCUUGACAGCAGGGAAAUGGGAUUUUUUUAUUAUUAUUAUUAUUGCUAUCAUUAUACCACUGUUAUUAUUGUUGUGCAAAGGGAAGAAGAAUGGUUGAGUGUGACAAGAGGUAAUGGCCUCAAGUUGCUUCAGGAGAGGUCCAGGCUGGAUAUUUGGAACAAUUUAUUCUCAUAAAGAGUGGUGAUGCAGUGGCACAGGCUGUCCAGGGAGGUGGUGGAGUCCCCAACCCUGGAGGUACUCCAGAACGAUGGAGAUGUGGCACUGAGGGAAAUGGUUUAUUGGUAUGGUGGGGAUGGGUCAAUGGUUGGGCUAGGUGAUCUUAGUGGUCUUUUCCAACUUCAUGAUUCUAUGAUUUAAGUGAGAUUAUAUGAAAUAAAGUAGCAAU
ensembl:lncRNA